CCGGACCUGACUGCUAUCGGAUUGGUACUAAGCCAUGCGAGUCAUUGUAGCAAUGCAAGGCGGACGGCUCAGUAACACGUAGUCAACCUAACCUAUGGACGUGGAUAACCUCGGGAAACUGAGAAUAAACCACGAUAGAUCAUGAUGCCUGGAAUGGCUUAUGGUCCAAACAGUUUACUGCCAUGGGAUGGGACUGCGGCCUAUCAGCUUGUUGGUGAGGUAAUGGCCCACCAAGGCGAUUACAGGUACGGGCUCUGAGAGGAGAAGCCCGGAGAUGGGUACUGAGACACGGACCCAGGCCCUAUGGGGCGCAGCAGGCGAGAAACCUUAGCAAUGUGCGAAAGCACGACUGGGUCAGUCCGAGUGAUUCCUGAUAAAGGAGUCUUUUGCCUGUCCUAAAAGCACAGGUGAAUAAGGGGUGGGCAAGUCUGGUGUCAGCCGCCGCGGUAAUACCAGCACCUCGAGUGGUCAGGACGUUUAUUGGGCCUAAAGCAUCCGUAGCCGGCUCUGCAAGUCUUCGGUUAAAUCCACCUGCUCAACAGAUGGGCCGCUGGAGAUACUACAGAGCUAGGGAGUGGGAGAGGCAGACGGUAUUCAGUGGGUAGGGGUAAAAUCCUCUGAUCCAUUGAGGACCACCAGUGGCGAAGGCGGUCUGCCAGAACACGUUCGACGGUGAGGGAUGAAAGCUGGGGGAGCAAACCGGAUUAGAUACCCGGGUAGUCCCAGCUGUAAACGAUGCAAACUCGGUGAUGCAUUGGCUUAUGGCCAAUGCAGUGCCGCAGGGAAGCCGUUAAGUUUGCCGCCUGGGAAGUACGGACGCAAGUCUGAAACUUAAAGGAAUUGGCGGGGAGCACCACAAGGGUGAAGCCUGCGGUUCAUUGGAGUCAACGCCGG
rnacentral:rRNA from 1 species